rnacentral:rRNA from 1 species
GGGCCCGCACAAGCGGCGGAGCGUGCGGUUUAAUUCGACGCAACGCGCAGAACCUUACCAAGGCUUGACAUGCUCCUGCAGAGCCGGGAAACCGGAUGUCCUUCGAGGGUGGAGCACAGGUGCUGCAUGGCUGUCGUCAGCUCGUGUCGUGAGAUGUUGGGUUAAGUCCCGCAACGAGCGCAACCCCCGUGGUCAGUUGCCGAUGUUUCUGACCAGACUGCCGGCAGCAAACCGGAGGAAGGUGGGGAUGACGUCAAGUCAGCAUGGCCCUUACGUCUUGGGCUACACGCACGCUACAAUGGCCGGGACAACGGGUUGCCAAACCGCAAGGUGGAGCCAAUCCCCCAAACCCGGUCUCAGUUGGAAUUGUGGGCUGCAACCCGCCCACAUGAACGUGGAGUCGCUAGUAACCGUGGGUCAGCAUUACCGCGGUGAAUACGUUCCCGGGCCUU